AUUGAACGCUGGCGGCAGGCUUAACACAUGCAAGUCGAACGAGUGGCGGACAGGUGAGUAAUGCUUUGGAAUCUAGCUUAUGGAGGGGGAUAACUACGGGAAAAUGUAGCUAAUACCGCUUACCAGCGGAUGAGCCCAAGGGGGAUUAGGUAGUUGGUGAGGUAAAGGCUCACCAAGCCGACGAUCUCUAGCUGGUCUGAGAGGAUGACCGGCCACACUGGGACUGAGACACGGCCCAGACUCCUACGGGAGGCAGCAGUGGGGAAUAGUGCGCAAUGGGGGCAACCUGACGCAGCCAUGCCGCGUGAAUGAAGAAGGCCUUCGGAUUGUAAAGUUCUUUCGGUAGCGAGGCGUUAACUACAGAAUAAGCACCGGCUAACUCCGUGCCAGCAGCCGCGGUAAUAC
rnacentral:rRNA from 1 species